rnacentral:tRNA from 1 species
GCUAACGUAGCUUAAUUAANGCAUANCACUGAAGAUGUUAAGAUGGACCCUAGAAAGUUCCGUAAGCA